UUGUCCCUGUUUCCUUGGAGUGUCCCAGUGUCCCUGCUUGGCUGUUUGUUGCCCUGCAGGCAGAAGAGCCCAGGCCUGAGAUGGCUGAGUGUUGGUGUGAGCCACAGUGGGUGUCCCUGCCCUCGGGACAGUCCCCAGAGCUGCCUUUGGCAUCCCCUGCUGAAGGGUGGGAGCUGCCCAGAGCCAGCAGCAUCCAGCUGGAGGAUCCAGGAGGAUGCAGUUCCUGUUGUCUGGGAGUUGAAAACUGGAGUGAUUGUCAAGGUGUUGGCACUUGUUUUCCUGUGUCUUUGGUGAGGUGUUGACUCAGUACCUUUAUUGGAGCUGCUGUUGGAUGAAGAGGUGCCCCCAGUUCACCUGGAAGGUCCUGGUUUUCUUCCCUGCUUCUCCCAGCUUGUCCAGGAGAUGGAAUUCCAGUGCUAGAGUCUAGAUGGCUCGUGGUGCUCCCAAAAGGAGCCUUUGUGCCUUCAGGGAGAAACUGGGGCAAGCGGGCAGGAAGAAGAGAAGCCCCGU